rnacentral:rRNA from 1 species
CGGGGAAUAUUGCGCAAUGGGCGAAAGCCUGACGCAGCAACGCCGCGUGAGGGAUGAAGGCUUUCGGGUUGUAAACCUCUUUCAGCAGGGACGAUUGUGACGGUACCUGCAGAAGAAGCCCCGGCCAACUACGUGCCAGCAGCCGCGGUAACACGUAGGGGGCGAGCGUUGUCCGGAUUUAUUGGGCGUAAAGAGCUCGUAGGUGGUUCGGUAAGUCGGGUGUGAAAACUCUGGGCUCAACUCAGAGACGCCACCUGAUACUGCCGUGACUGGAGUCUGGUAGGGGAGUGUGGAAUUUCCGGUGUAGCGGUGAAAUGCGCAGAUAUCGGAAGGAACACCAGUGGCGAAGGCGGCACUCUGGGCCAGUACUGACACUGAGGAGCGAAAGCGUGGGUAGCGAACAGGGAUUAGAUACCCUGGUAGUCCACGCCGUAAACGUUGGGCACUAGGUGUGGGUCUCAACCAACGGGAUCCGUGCCGCAGCUAACGCAUUAAGUG